AUACUUACCUGGCAGGGGAGACACCAUGAUCAUGAAGGUGGUUUUCCCAGGGUGAGGCUUAUCCAUUGCACUCCGGGUGUGCUGACCCCUGCGAUUUCCCCAAAUGCGGGAAAACUUGACUGCAUAAUUUGUGGUAGUGGGGGACUGCGUUCGCGCUUUCCCCUG
rnacentral:snRNA from 1 species